UACAGAGGUCGCAAGCGUUGUUCGGAUUUACUGGGCGUAAAGGGUGCGUAGGCGGUCGGGUAAGUCUGAUGUGAAAUCUCACAGCUUAACUGUGAAACUGCAUUGGAUACUAUCCGGCUCGAGGAAUGGAGGGGAGACUGGAAUACUUGGUGUAGCAGUGAAAUGCGUAGAUAUCAAGUGGAACACCAGUGGCGAAGGCGAGUCUCUGGACAUUUCCUGACGCUGAGGCACGAAAGCCAGGGGAGCGAACGGG
rnacentral:rRNA from 1 species